AAUUGUUCUGGAGAUUGAGCUAUCAUCAGUGAACAUCCUCACCUUAUUAUGAAGGGAAAGUCAUUGAUGAAGCAGCUGAAAUGGUUGGUCCUGGGAAACUAUUCUGAGGAAUUCCUGCAGAGAUGUUUGGGUGCUGAGAUAACUGAUCUUCAACAACAAUAACCAACUUGUGCCAGAUGGUCUCAAAUGCUGCUACUUGAGUUAACGACAUCAAGAGGAGAAAGGCUGCAACUGGGAGGUGGCACUAUUUAAAGGAACUGACAGUAUGCAGGAUUCUUGCAAGCCUCCAAAGAUAAUGACAUGUUCAGGAAUAUAGACAUGAAAGAUCCCACGAUUUACAACAGUGACAGGAUUCAACGGCUUGAGUUGCAUUCGGAAGAAAAGCCAAUUUAUGGUUUGAUGUUAUAUGAUGUUAAUGAAUUUCUAACCAAGAAAGAAAGAGAGGAGGGUACACCUGCAUAAAACGAAAAGAUUUUGAAAUUCAGGUGAUGAAAUGAUGCCAAUGAUGUCUUUGUACUUUAUAGAAUGUUCCAUAUAUAUGAAUUCAGGAUCAGUCAGAAUUAGGGACUGUAAGGGUAAUUCUGGGGAUUCAAGCUCCAGACAGGAAACUUAGUCUGUCAACAGCUUAUUCUGGGAAUCAGACCACAGCAGGCAACAGAUUCUUAGGGAUUUUCUAUCCAUGAAAUCCUGCAUAGUUUGAUAAUCUCUGUCUUCAAAAUCUCACAAUAAGCAUUGGAGAGAGAAAGCUAUGUGCUG